rnacentral:rRNA from 1 species
CCUACGGGAGGCAGCAGUAGGGAAUUUUGCGCAAUGGGCGAAAGCCUGACGCAGCAACACCGCGUGAAUGUUAAGCCCUUCGGGGUGUAAAGUUCUGUCAAUAGGGAGGAUUUUGGACUGUACCUAUAAGGGAAGCACCGGCUAACUCCGUGCCAGCAGCCGCGGUAAUACGGGGGGUGCAAGCGUUGUCCGGAAUCAUGGGGCGGAAAGCGUUCGUAGGCGGCAAGGGAAGUAUGAUGUUAAAGCCCGGGGCUCAACUCCGGUUCGGCAUUGGAUACUGUCUAGCUAGAAUGUGGUAGAGGUAGAGGGAAUUCCUGGUGUAGCGGUGAAAUGCGUAGAUAUCAGGAGGAACAUCGGUGGCGAAGGCGCUUUACUGGACCAUUAUUGACGCUGAGGAACGAAAGCCAGGGUAGCAAAUGGGAUUAGAUACCCUUGUAGUC